rnacentral:lncRNA from 10 species
GCUGAAUGGCCCUCUACUAAAGCUCAGGGUGUUCCUGGGGUCUCAUAACAGCUCUGUCUUGUCUCUGCCUCAGGCCUAGUGAUGUGCUUUGCUCCCUGCUGUUGGUGGACUGCUCCUCUUGUGGGUAUAUCACAGGCUCCCUGUAAUGCUAUUGGUUCUGUAUUUUAAAUAAUAAUUUCUCUCACUUAACUACACUUUUGAGUGUUACACUCUUCCUUCCUGAUCUAUGUCCAAAACAGAAGUCUCAAUAACAUGCAAAGAUGCAGUGUGUUAAGCAAAAGUGGAAGAUAACGAGACCAUUUCAGGUAGAUUCAUAUGCUGCAGUCCUACAAUGGUGUAUGGUUAACAUAGGAAAAUGAGGCCAUUGGGGUGACUUAGCUCAGGUUGUGCUAAUGAAAUGCCAUGGGCUGAGCUUCUCAAACAGCGACAUUAUUUUUUAUUUUUUAAACAUUUCUCCAGCAUGAGAUAUCUAAAAUCUAGCUGCCAGGCAAUAUGAUUCCUGGUAAAGACCAAGUUCCUGGCUGGGAUAUAGACACCUUCUUGCUAUACCCUCAUAUGGAAGAAAGAGUGAGUGUUUUCUCCCUCUCUCUUCCCGCCCGCCUUGGCUUUCCAAAGUGUUGGGAUUACAGGUGUGAGGCACUGUGCCCAGCCUUCGUUGGAAGUCACUAAUGCCACCAUUAGAGUCCAACCUUGUGACCUUAUGUAACCCGAAUUAUUUCCUUAAGUGCUCAUCUUCAAAUGACAUCAUGUUGGGGUAUAGAGAUUCAAAGUAUGAAUUUGGUGGGUGACUAAAUUCAAUACACAGCAAGGGUACAAGAAAGAAGUUCAUAAAAGGGGCUUUGGACCCAUGCAUGCAGAUCUGACUGUACAGAUUGCCAGAUGGUGAGCAUGUUCAAUGGAGAGAGGUCACAGAUAGCUAUAUAUUAGCAU